rnacentral:rRNA from 1 species
UACGUAGGUGGCAAGCGUUGUCCGGAUUUACUGGGCGUAAAGAGCGCGCAGGCGGUCGUCCAAGUCGCGUGUGAAAGCCCCCGGCUCAACUGGGGAGGGUCACGCGAUACUGGUCGACUCGAAGGCAGGAGAGGGUAGUGGAAUUCGGGGUGUAGUGGUGAAAUGCGCAGAUAUCAGGAAGAACACCCGUGGCGAAAGCGGCUCUCUGGAACGGUACUGACGCUGAGACGCGAAAGCGUGGGGAGCGAACAGG